AACUCAAUUGCAACCAAAGAAGUUGCUGAACUGGAAGCAUGCGAGAAACCAACAUUCGCUUUUUAGAACUAGAGCCUGCACAUCAAAAUUCCAAAAAAAAAAAAACUAGAGCUUGGCAAGUUUUUCCAACCUCCCAAAAAAAAAAAGCCAAUAAAGCUAUGGUUCCACCAGGUCAAGACACAAAUAAAGACGCUUUAAACAUGGAUGCCUGCAAUCUUUCACUUUCAGUUGCCGGACCCAGAUCGUGAAAGCCCUUUUGGACGAUAUGAUAUACUACUACUCUAAUUCUUUGGUCCUCUCGCCGAAAAACGAAGUUGCUGAGGAACCGUGAUGAGGAGGGCGAAUAGCAGAGGAAGAUGAUGCACUAGUAAUGCCACCACCAAAGUCAGAUCUAAAUGAAGGAGACGAAGAAGAAGAAGAAGACGGGAAAAUAGCAAUAGAAUGAGGAAGAAACAAGCUUGCCAAGCUUCUCUUGAGCAGAUCCCACUUGGGCUGCUGUUCUUGAAGACAAAAGGCACAGAUCUCACCUGGGGUGCUGUUCUUGUAAGGGUGGUCGGUGCAUUUACGAGUGAAAAAAUUUUUCGCUCCAUUUUACAGAGUGGAACACAGUAGGACAAAAAUGCCCUUCGUAUUUCGGCGUGCAUCUCACGUGGUCAUAAUUUCCGUUAGUAUUAACUGCUGAAUUUAACAGAAGAUCUAAUAUUUUGUGCUUUGAAUAGAUUAGGAGCCAAAAAUUUACUUUUAAUUGUUUAAGGGUCAAAACUUCAUUCGGCUAAUAGUUUGAGGGCCAGUGGGACUUUUUGCCCAAAUCAUUUGCAUCCUUAUCUAUGGAGACCAAGAGUACGUGGGCGGUAAUCAAUAGGUGGACUGUAAUCAGCAGAUGGACUGUUUUGUAAUUUUAUUUGGCUUCUUAAAGGAGAAUUUUGUCCUUGCGCUAAUUUUCCUUCCACCGCCCAGAACUGCCUGUAAUCUCCGCUGGAGAGAAGCAGCGGCAAACUCCAAAUCAAGCUGCAGCAAACCCUUAUUCUCUUCUCAAAUACUCACACUUAACUCGAGAUCUUUGUCAUAUUUGCUAGGAUGUGUUGGACUCAGUGGCACUAGGGUUACUCCACCAAGCUUUCUGUUAAAACUUCGAGGCCAGGCAGAUUUUCAUCGCUUCAAAAUGAGUUGUCCAUCAAGCCUACAGCAUUUUUGCCUUUUUCUGCUCAUUCUUGCUGUCCCAGCAUUCAGUCAGAGCAGUGUGGCCAACACAAAGGUGUUGCAUGUUGGCAAGGAGCUACUGAAGGAAACUCUACCACUACAAAGUGGCUCCUGCUUAUAUCAACUGCAAGGGCUAAGAUCAAAUAUGUGGUAUGAAGUGAAGAUAUCAUAUCCCGCUUCUAUACCGGCUAGUUUCUCUUUACAACUUAAAAACGCAAGUUCUGAUCCGGAGCUGAACUUUGGAAGGAAAUUGCUGAAUACAGAGAAGUUAAUUUUCAAAACUGACAAGCUGGAAUCGCUGGAUGACCAGGGUGGAUUAUAUGUUUUAGUGAGUGUGAUGCCUGAGGGAGUUGUUGCCAUACCAGGAGCAAAAGAGAGAAAGUACAUCAUAUUUAAUAUAGUGUGAAGUGCAGUUGAAGCAACUACCAAACUGGUGAUUUUCGUAGGCAAAAAUGUGAGCAAGGAAACAUUUGACUACAGAGCAACUUGAGACACCUGCAGCAAUUCCUAUCAUUUUGUGACUCAGCAAUACUAGAUGAAACUUUGAUUUCAUUUGUGAUGAACUAUUUUUUGGCAUUCCUCACAAGGCCUGGUAUGUGGCGAUAUUGGUAUUGCUUUGCUUGGUUAUUGCAUUCCUGAUCCCAUCUUUUCUCCCACCAUACCUUCUAUUGAAGAAUCAAGAGUCACGUGGAGCUAAAGAUUCAUAGCUGCAUUUUCUGCCACAAAAUGGGAACAAUGAUGUUAUGAGUUCAGACUUGAAAUGUUGCAGCUUAUUGCUGGAGGAUUUUCUAAAUGAGAUUAACGUGUGCCUCUGAACAAGAUGGUCCUUAUCUUUCGAGGAAAAUGUGAUUGAUAUGCAUAUGAAUGUCUACUUUGUGUUUGUUCUGAACAAAGUUUGUAAUCUUACAAUAAGCAGUGGGGUGUCAAGCUGGAGGAUACAUUUUUGAUUAAGUUGAUAGGCGCAGAUUGCAGAAUAGGUUCGUGUGAGUUUUGGGAUAGGAAAUGAUCUCCUUUUGCAGUCCCUUGUCUUUAAUCUCAUAAGAUGACUAAAUCUUGGGCAAUAACUGGGAACUGCUUUAUCUUAUGGUUCGACUUUAAACCAGCAAUGACUGUUACUGCAUCCA